UGUGACCGGCCACUUAAUUCAAUCUUAAGGCUAAUUUUCUUAGCCUUUUUUUUCUCUCUUUCCUAACCUUGAUAUUUUGCACGAUUACAAGCUAGUUGUUUUAUAGACUGUCCUCAGUUUGGUUCACCUGACGUUUCCUUAUCAUAUGACUCGGUUUAGUACUUACUGACUGGGCUGCUAAAUACGUAAUGUUACGUCCUUCUUAGGCUGUCACAUUUGUAGGUGCAUCAUUUGUGUUUACAUUUUAUUUAUGAUGUUAACAUUCAUAACUUGGUUAAGGUGUUGUGUGGUUUCUCUGUUGUACUGUAAAGUGUAAUUUCUGUAAAUUUUAAUUUGUAGGGAUGUAUUUCGAGAUUAUGUUAAUAACCAGUUUUUCAUCAACUCUGGUCCCAUUAAUUCCUUAAUUCAUUCACCGGGGGAGUCACAACCCUCUUCAUCAUGUAUACAAUUUUUUCAUGUUUGAUAAUCCCUUGGGAGUGGGUUUGGGAAAUCACUGAGACCUUUAGAUUUAUUCUACAUUUUGGCCAAGUUGAUUGAAUUCAUGUAAAUUAAACGUGGGUCUGCUAAAAGCUCUAUUAUGAUAAUAAUAAAAUAAGAGUCCUACGGAUACAAGCUAUAAUCAUUCACAUUUGAUAUGGAUGCAAUGACUGACUAAUAAAUCAGAUAUUCAGUGUACAGUUUACAGAAAAACGAUCGUGAUAAAUACAAUUUCAACAAAAAAUAUUUUAACUAUGCUGAAUGGAAAAUUCAAUAAUAAAUUUAAAUGGCCUAAUUAUAUUUGUUCUGUAAAAUGCAUGCUUGACAAAGAAAAUUUUCAGUGGUGUUAUAAUUCUGAAUAAAAUGUUUGCAUUCAUAAAUACAGAACUCGGAUAUGCAUGACAUGAAGAGUACCGUCACAAUAGCAGACGGAGGUAGUAUAACUGGGCAUUUUCGCAUAUGGAUGCUGGAGCCUGAACUCCAGGGUUGUAACUUCACUUACACCACUUACUGGAUUUGACCAUGGACAAGUUACUUAAUCCUUGCCUUGAUGCUCUAUCUGCAAAAUGGGACAAUAAUAAUAUGUAACCAUAUAUAACUUUUAUGAGGAUUUAAAGAUUUAACACAUGUGAAAUGUUUGGAAUAGUCCUGGCACGUUAAUCUCAUCAUCAUUAUCACCACUUUCAUAAUAGUCACCUUCAUUCUGUAUUUUUCUGGGGUGGGGAAAGGAAAUAUUUCAAAGCUGGGAACCUCCUGUAGCCUGAAAUUAAUUGAGAAAAUAAUCCGGGAUAUUGCUGAUCAUUCUUUGACAGUAAUGAUAAUGUUGUGGCAACUUGUAAACUGAGUAAAAUAGCACUAUGGACUUUCCCUAGCAUAGGUCACGAAAGGACAUGUCUUUAAAGUGUUUAGAUCACACCUCUCAGUUGAGGUUUCAUCACUGGAAACAAUUUUUAACACCAUUGACAGAAUUAUAACUGUCAUGCUCCCAGUUUUAAUGCCUGUGGCAUGCUAUGAGUUUGAACUAAAUUAUCUCAUUUAAUCUCAGCACCAAAUUUAUAAGGAAGAUAUUAUUAUCAGCCUUAUCUUACUAAGCAAGAACAGGUUUUGAAAAGCUGGAAAAGUGCUGAAGUUCGUGGAUCUAAGCAGAAGAACCAGACUUGGAACUAUAAUAUCUGGCUAUAUACUGAUCCAUUACACCAUACUGCUUUCUGGAAAUAUACACCCUUUUCUGUGGGACUGUUGUCACUUCACUUUGCAUCGACUUUGCUGCUAAUAGAUAUGCAGGCCUUCAGAUUUGGUAUUGCAAUGAAUAGUAUUCCACUGUCAAUUGUAUUAAUCAAAGUCCUGGGAGGAAAGGAGGUGUUGUACAUAUGAGAAUAAUUUAAGAAAACAUAAUUAAGGGACUCUGUACUAAGGUAAGGGAGGAGUUAAGGAAUUCGAAAAGAACUGGCAAAGCCUUCUGAAACUAACAAUGACAAGAAGUCGUUACCACCAUAAGGCCAACACAGGCAAGGGCAGGAGGCAGCUGCUGGCAUUUGGAGACAGCUGCAGCCAUGUGACAGAGGCCAUCUGAUAUACCCACUCCAGAGGAACACAACUGCUAAACUGCCACCCUGUUGGAAGAGAGUAGGGCCUAAUAAUCACCUCGAUCUGUCUUUCCUUCAGUUUUCUGACUUCAUUUCAGUGCCUCCCACUGGCCAAACCCAACUAGAAGCCAGAAGGCAAGGGAGCUUAGGUGACACCGUUGGUAGAAGCCAUUCUCCCUGGGCACAGAUAAAGGCUGAGAUGGGCAGAAAUUACCAAGUUGGUUUUGCAGCAGGGUUGGGGGAGAAGGCAGGAGAAUGGAGACUUACUGUAGCACUAAGCAUACCUGAUACAUUAUUCUAAAUUACCAUCACUUAGUAAAAUAUCGGUGGAGAAAAUUGAAGAAUUCAAAAAUUAAAGAUACAAAUGCAUUUAAUAACAACAUACUUUUCAAAGUGUGAGAGGAGAAAGUGGCUUUCUUUAAUUAAGAAAGAACAUCCUCCAGAUAAUGUCAUUGCAUAGGUAUGUGGAAUGUAAAAUGUUCGAAUGUGAUCAGCAGUCUUCUUCAAGUUGCUUAUAUGUUAAACUGAUCCUUGAAUGGGUUGCUAUAAUUACAUUUUAAAGAGUCUGGCAAAUCUUGCUAGUUUUUUGCUUUGCAUUUAAAUUGGCUCAGCAUCUUGGUGCCAGUGGAAUUUACCAGGCUGGUGACAGCUCAGCUCAGGUUUCUCAAUGUUUCACAGCCCCAUGGGCCCCUUACAAUGUUUCUUUGGACACCCUCUGUACUAUGUGAUUACUGUAGGUCCUCUGUUGGGGAAUCACAUUGUCACACACUCUCCUCGUGCAUCCUGUUGUCUUGUCUUCUCCGUAAGCAGCCCUGUGCUGUGAGCCAGCUCGGAAGGAUUUAGUCUAUGUGAAGGAAAUUGAAAAUGAACAUUAACAGAUUUUGUUCUUACUCAUUUAGAAAAUAAUUCAUAUGCCUUCAUUUUGGUGAUGUUCAUGAUCCUUCAUUGACUCUCAAAUUUCCGGACUCCUGAAGCCCAUUUCUGAGUUGAGGUUUUUUCUGCUCUUGCCAAUCACUAGGUGGUGAAACAACUAUAGCCUUGGUCAUGCCCUUAACAGCGCAUGAGGCUGAGCUUAAACCGGAGAAGGCCUCCCUGGUAAAAGGGAGCUGAAGCUGAAAUCCAUUAAUUAUUUGCAAAGCUCUGUUUUUGUUUUUGUUUUCUGUCAUCUCAAGCAGAGUGGUAUCAUUUAGGUGCUACAUAAAAUUGUUCCAGCAAUUCAUUCAACUUACGUCAUGUGUCCAACUGGGGAGGAAUUCCUGGAGCUGUUCUAGAACAAUGAGAAUUUGUGAGUUGAAAAUUGAAAUGAAAUUUUAAAAAUGCUACUAAGCUGAGUUAAGAGAGGAAAAAGGGAGGCUUGGAGUUUUCUUUCUAUUAUGAUAUAUUUUUUCAAAAUUCCCCCAUUUUCAAUUCCUCUUAUUUUAAUGUUUCCAGUGAUUGAAGCACUUUGUUUAAGGCAAAGAAAUAUAAAUCAAUAGAGGAAUUACUUAACUAGAAAAUGCAAAUCAAUACCAACUUCCUUAUGCAGGAACUUUUUGGUCUGAAAUAUUUAGCAAUAUGCUAUUUGUUUUAUAAAAAUGUGGCUGUAAUAAGUGAUAGCUUGUAGUGAUGCUAUUUACAUAUGAAAGCACUGUAAAAUAAUAUUCAGUUUAUCUCAGGGCGUGACCAACUAACACUUUUUUGUGCAUUCUGUAUCUAUUAUAAAGAGACAAUAAGAAAAUAAAUAGAAUCGGAAUAGCAAAAGGACAGUUUUGAAUUAUCGUUAAUAUAUAAUGCACACCUAAUCCAUAUGUCCUAUAUUUUUCAUUAAUAAAUAUCUAAUGAAAAUUGAUAUAUAGGCGUAGUGAUCACUUAGAAGAACUUUUAAGUAUUUUUGAAUGAAAAAACUAAAUUAUUUUGUGUUUGAUCUUGUCUUUGUUUUGGUAUUUUGAUAAUUUUCUAUGAUUAAGAAAACACAAGAAUGCUGAGCCAGGAAAAUUAAAUUGUUUAAUAUCUGCUGUCACUUUCAGAGAAAGAGCUUUGUACUGUACUAAGAUUAUGAUCCUGAACCUACUGCUUAUUAGCUGUUCAAUUUUGAGUAAAUCACUUAUGUGGUAGUUGUUUUGUCUUUCCAGAUUCUUCUUAGCUGGGUCCUUUACUGCAUUGACCAGGUGCCAAAGGUGGCUCCGUAUUUUUAUUAGACUCUACUCCUUUAGCAAUAGUUGACUUGGACCUAAGCGAGACCAAUUAAGGUCCUUUGCUAGGAUUUGGCUUGGCCCAGUGAGAGCUUUCCUGUGUUGGCUGAAGCUUUAUGGUGCAUAACUUAUGAAUGGUCAGAGGCCAUGGUUCUCAGAGUCUGAAGAAUGCUGGUCUGCAGUGAAAGGGAAUGAAGCCAACAUGCAGAGAGAAACAGUUGCAGGCACAGUCCUGGGGGGGGGUCCAUGUUUCUGGUUCCAGUUGUUCCUGGUGUCCCCUCUCUGCCUCCCUGCAUUUCCUGUGACUGGGUCAUUCAACCUUUACUUGGCUUUUACUUAUUCAAAUUGGGUUUUGUCUCACUCAGUUUGGGUUAGAAUAUUAAACCCUCACUUUCACAAGCUGCACCCAAAGUCUUGUAUGUGAUUUUUGUUUGUUCGUUUGCAGUUUGUGUAAUACCAUUGAAUCAUUUAUUUAAAAGCUCUUAAAAUUUUAACCCAAUUAUUUCAAGUUUAUGUGGUCUUUGUCCUUUAUUAAUUAAUAAUUGCUAUUACCGUAUAUACAGAGAACACUAGUUUUUUGGGGCUUUUUAAAAUUAUUUUUAAUCAAUUUUACUUAAAACAUUUUAAGGAACAGAAUUUUAUGUUAUUGUUUUAAAGAAGGUUCUCAAAAUUAUGUAAACCUAAUGCUCCUAUGAAACCUGGAACCACUUUUGACCCUAAUUAAUACAACUUAACUUCUCCAAUUUUCAAUUCACUUGUUUGUAAAAGAUAGGAAAUUAAUCUUGAAUGUCACUAAAAUUCUGUGACUCUACUAAUGUAUAAAGUAUAACUUCCCUCCACGCCUCAUUCAUUUUUACAACCCAUUGGGAAAUGACUCUUUCUGUUCAAAGUUACACAGAGGCCAUAACAAGGUGUCAUUAAUUAGUAACAGAAAGAAUUUUGAGGAGGAAGUGCCCAGAAGAACUGGAAACUUGAGGGGAUUUUAGGUAAAUUCUACCUGCCAUUAUCCCCUCUGGAACAGACAAAGGGUCUCAAUAUUGAGGGACAAUUGCUGAAAUGAAAAUUCUAGGUAUUAUACGUUGGGGACUUUUUUUUUUUUUCUCAUUACAGUAUCAUACUUCCUUUCUGGUGCUUAGAUGAUUCUCUGAAGUUUUGUAGUCUAGUGUUUGAUUCUUUUGCAUCUUUAAAUUUUUUUAUUUAUGUAACAUAUUAAAAAUGUAACACUUUUCAGACAUGUUAAAUAUACUGAAAAUAGUUUACUAUCAGAAAGUGCUGAUUACCAAGAGAUGAAAAUGUUCUCUAUUGUUCUGUUACUGCUGUUCAGCUGUCAGACACUAACUCCUUAUCAUACAGUCCUGCUUGCCUCUUGUCUUCUCAGUUUUCUAGAUGUACAAUGCAUCUCAACUUUUUCUGGUUCUAAAGGUUAUUACAGUUUUUCCAUUGAUAGUAUUAUGGCUUCAUUCACUUUUAAGGAAGAACUUAAGAGUCACAAGGUGGUAGCUAGCCAAAGACUUGCUUUAACUUUAAAGAAUUAACAAUAUAGUUGAUAUGUGGAAUUUUUAAAAUGUAGCUUCAAUUGGAUUUUCUGCAUAUUCUCAUUAUCCUUGUCCAGUAUCAAAAUGACGAGACCAGCACUGUCUUCAGAAGUUUACUCAGCCCAAUUUUACAUAUAUGUGAAAUUAGCCAAGAUUAAGAUUAACUGAUAGAACUGGUCACCUAGAAUUCAGAGUUAUUAAAGGAAAACAUCUGCCUAACCCUAGACAUUUAGAGGAACUGGAGUGGGACAAAUGGAGAAUGGUUGGGAUUAAGAAACCAACAAGAUCCACAAGGAUAGCGUAGGUAAUAAUGGAGUAUCAUUAGCAUAUAUGGUGGUAUCAGUAGCAUAUAUGGUGGAGGGAAGAUGAGUUAUAACCCAAAGAUCUGGCAGUGAGGGUCAGAUAGAGAACACAAUAGAUAGGAGAGCAAAGUAUCCAUUUGCUGUAGUAUACAAUAGAUGGCAGGCAAGAAAGAAGGGCCUUGACUUCCCGAAAGGGAGCAGGUAGAGAGGGAUGGGUUCCUGGUGGUCUGGGCUAGCUCAGAGUCCCAGAACUAGAAGACUAGGGUUGAAAAAACAAAAGCCCCUCUAGGGUCAACUUUGACCCUCCUUCCAAUUCAUUCUUCACACACAGACGUCAGACUUGCACAUGUAAUUACACUCCUCCUCUGUUUAAACAUCCUAAUGACCUCCAUUGUCCUCAGGAUAAAAGUCCAAAUUCUUCAGCAUGACCCAAACAGUCAUUCAUGGUCUAGUUUAUGCCUUCUCCAUCAGCCUCAUUGCCCAGUUUCCCCUCUCAUUCUCUAUAUUCCAAUACCUUGAGUAAUUAUAAUUCCAAAAGAGUAACGCUACUUUAUGCCACUAUCUUUUUGCACAUGCUAUUACCUCCGACUAUAAAACUUUCACCUUGAAAAAUCUUCCUUGUCCUUCAAGUCUUAACUCAACCAGUACUUCCUUUAUGAAGCCUACCUUGCUCAUUCUCCCAGUAGAGUUGGUCCCUAGUGUCCUUGCACAUUCUCAAAUUAUGUAGUAUUGUAUCUUGUUAACCUUUUUAUUUUACAUGGUUAUCUGUUAUACUAGAAAUAUCAUCUUAUUGUAGAUAGAUUCCAUGCAUUAUUCAUUAACCCUAAUAUUUAAGGUUAUGUCUGGCCCAUACUGAACCCUCAGUGCUUAUAGAAUAAAUAAUGAGACAGGUUUUCAAUUAAUAAAUCUUGAGUAUAAAGUGAAGGUUUGAGAUAAAGUGAAGUAAGACCUGGUUAUAGAAAACAGAAGAGAAAGUCACAGUGUAUCUAACAUCAACAAUGACCUAUACUGAGCCUUUGAGUAUAGGCCUCCAUAACUUUCUUCAAGCUAGAAAGAGAAUGUUUUCUAACACAGUGGCAGAGUCAAGCCUAUUUAUUUAUCUGGAAUGAAGUAACAGCAAAGCUAUAGGUUAGAAGGAUGUAAAAACAGAAAGCUGUAAGCCUGAUUAGCCAAACUUCAGAAAUACAAAUUUCCCUUACCUUGAAGAAGCACCAGGUAGCAGGAAGAGCCUGGGCUUUGGGGUUGUAAAAAACUCGAUUCACAGCCAUUUAUUAAGUAUAAGACGUUAACUUUCAUUCUCUGAGUGUCAGUUUUCUUAAUUUUGAGAUAGUGAUAUUAAUUCUAACCACAGAGGGUUUGUGAGAAUUAGCUGAAGCUAUAUAGUGCAAAUAUGAUGGAAUAGGCUCUAGGAAUGACUGUUUUCUUUUUACAUGCCAAACCCCAAGUACUUGGUGGCUCUUUUCUGAUUUCUCAGAAUUGUUUUGAGAAGAAAAAAGCAGGCUACAGAUAAAAAUUUGCAUCAAAAUGAUACAGCAAACAACAUUUUAAAGGUUGAACAUAAGUACUAAGAAUGAUAUUGUCACCUAGAUAAUGUCAAUCAGGGAAUACAUUUGAAAUGUUAGCCAUAACUAUACAAUGGUCACUCAACUAUUCUGUAUUAUUUAAAAUUCAGUAACUAAUAACUUCAAAAAUAGGAUAAAGCUAUGUGGAGACAAUGAACCUCAAGAAAAUAGUUUGUUAGUAAAUUGUUUCAUCCUCAGUAUAUACCUGGAGUUCUUAAAUAUGGCAGAUUUAAACUUUGUUGAACAUUUCAGAGAAUAUUGUAGCAACAGUAGCUUAGUCAAAGGCAUUGUCUUUCUCCUCUGAAAUGAAAGAUGCUUUCUUUAAUUGUCAUCCCAAUUUUUCCUCCUCUCUAAUAACCUCACUCUGUAUUUCAGUCAGGGUUUGAUCAGAGAAACACAACCUCUAUGAAAUAUACAUUAAUAUAUUAUGGAUGUGCCUGACCUUACACAAUUGUGGAGCAUAAUUAAACCAUUUUCUGCUGGGCUUGGUGGUGGAGACAGAAAUCCACAGGCAGGAGGCUGAGAAGCAGGAUGCGUGUGAAGUGACGAAAGCCAAAACAAAUGGGAACCUGCGAAGUUGGAGCCUGUGAGGACAGGUUAAAUCGGGGAUAGUCUCUCACUGUCUUUACGUGUUGAUGAUGAGGGUAUUCUGCAAAAGAACCUAGUGCUCUUCAUCGUAGAGCUCAAUCUGCACCUAGCACAGGAGCCAGCAGUGAAUGAGGACUGUCAGGAGCUAUAGGAACUGUUGGGGGGAUGCCACUGCAACGUAGUGAGCCCCCAAUAACCAACAAUAUAUGUACACUGCAGGGGGCCUCAUUGCUUGCUUUGACCUUCAGAGUGUAAAAAGAACAUGACUGAUACUUCCUAUUAACAAGAACUACACAGGGAAGAAAUUUUAUGAAACAUAGUUCCAAUUGAGUUAAGUUGAUAUACCAUCAAUUCACCGUAUUCUAAAUGAUUGUAUAAAAUUCCUACUCUGUACUUUUAAUUUCUUAACCUAACUUAUUCUUACCUACGUCCUUAAGAUAAAAUCUCCCAGAUACCCUAACUCUCUUACCAAAAUUGAGCUCUAUUUGCUAUUCGAUAGAUAGAUGAAUGCAAUUCAAUGCGUCAAUUAUCCAGGGCAACGUUUAUCUGUUUCAUAAUGGAUUUCCAGAACCAGUAAUCACACUCAACUCACACUGUCCAGGAGUAACCUGUUUAAAAUGAAUUUUGGUGUAAUGGCUUUCCCAUGUUACUUUGAAAUGCAGUCUUGCUAUUUUCUCAUUUUUCUUGCAGCUAAGUCUUUCAUUUUGUAAAUGUAGACAGAUCUGUAUGACACUGAAAACCUGAAAUGGACUAGUGAGGUAUUCUGGAUAGUGGAAAAUGAAUUUCUUGUUUAAAAUGAAGGAAACUUUCCCUGGUUCAGCUUUGAAGAAGAGUAUAGAAAGUCAUGUCAUUAGCAAUAAUUUACUAAUUUGUAUAUUUUAUGCAGAUUUAAUAAGUCUUUGCAUUAAACAUUGGAUUUCACAUGGAGAUUAAAAGUGCUUUGUCAGAUUUGCAAGUAAAUGUGGAAAGCUUAAACUUGACCAACACAACAAGAAUAAAGGAAGAGGUAAUACUGCUAUUCCCCCUUCUUCUGUUCUGGAGCCAAAUACAUAGGAACUGGUGCACUAAAGCAGCCAUGGUCAUGAUAAGCUGAUGAGAUGGCGGACUGAGGAGAAAGUAGACCCUAAGCCUGAAGAAAACAUGAUGUGACCUAUCUAGGCCAGGAAAGGGGCAUAUCCAGAAAGGAGAUAAGAUCGGAAGCCUUUAUUUCCACCAUUCAGUCACUCACUGCCUGAGACUUAACUUCAUUUCAAGUAAGGGGAUAAUAUUUGGCCCCUAUGUAUCUUACAAGGGUUGUUUCCCUAAGAAAAAAAAUUAGGUAAGAUCAUAAGUGAGAAAGGAGUUUUUGAAUUAAAAAUAUAUACAAAUGCAAGUUAUAACAAUUUUUGUUCUGGAUAUUUUUGCAGCAGAUAGAAAAGUUCUUUGUGCUGUGGCCACCUGCCUAAUGCUGUUGACUGGCUGGUAAUAGAUGCCUGGGAGUCAUUUUGAGGUUACUUAGAGCCUCUUUCCACCACCAGAUGGAAGGAAAUUGGGCAACUUCUUGAGUAAUUGGCUCUUCUGACUCACGUUUCUUGCAUUGUGACCUGGGUGCUACCCAGGAUGAGCAAGGAAUUUCCUCUCUGGAGUUGUUUAAGGAAUAGCCCUAAACAUUCAGCUUCAUCUUUUUUUAAUGCCUCCUCUAACACUAUCUGAGCAGCCACAGAAAAGUAUUUGCUGCUGCCGUAUUUCAGAUCAGCUGAGAUAUAUUUUGAGUAAGUACUCUGGGAAAGGCACAGAAUACCAUUUCUUUGCUGAGGUUCUCUUCAAGGAUUUCCAUCCCCCCUUAAAGACCUAAUUGGGAUGGAGCAAUGUAUUUAGAACAUGAUGUGAGUACCAACAAGGAGUCAGGAGACACCUUUCAGCUGUACUUCUUUAUCUUUCCCCCCUUGCUUCCUCUGUCUCUGGUUUGCCCUUUUGCAUCUCUUCUUUUUCCUUUCUUUUCUUGUAUUACUUUCUCUUGAUCAAUAGACCUGCCGUAGCCUUCCCAGACAUAAAUUAUCAGCUUCCUUAGAAGUCCUCGGAAUGUGAACAGUUGUAGCCAGUUAGUCCAGGUCUUAGAUUCUCACCCCUUGCUGUGUAUGUAAUUAUCCAGGGAGCUUAAAAGGUACUGAGCCAUGGGCAUCCCUGGGGGGUGGGAUGGGCCCUAGACCUGGUAUUUUCAAAAACUUUCAAAAAUGAUUCUAAAACAUAUGCAGGUUAAACUGGUUGCAGACACUCAGGAAGCAAAAAUAUGACAAAACUACCCUAAAAGUAAAAUAAAAUAAGAUUUUUGGCUCAAA